CGAGGAGUGCCCACACAAAGAACUGCUAAUUCUGCGCCCUGGGAUUAAGCCCCCAGACUCCUUA
rnacentral:tRNA from 1 species